GACGAACGCUGGCGGCGUGCUUAACACAUGCAAGUCGAACGGAAAGGCGCUGCUUUUGUGGGGUGCUCGAGUGGCGAACGGGUGAGUAACACGUGAGUAACCUGCCCUUGACUUUGGGAUAACUUCAGGAAAAUGGGGCUAAUACCGGAUAGGAGCUCCUGCUGCAUGUGGGGCGUUGGAAAGUUUCGGCGGUUGUGGAUGGACUCGCGGCUUAUCAGCUUGUUGGUGGAGUAGUGGCGUACCAAGGGUUCGACGGGUAGCCGGCAUGAGAGGGGGAACGGCCACAUUGGGACUGAGAGACGGACCAGACUGCUACGGGAGGCAGCAGGGGAGAACAUUGCACAAUGGGGGGAAGCCUGAUGCAGCAACGCCGGGAGCGGGAUGAUGGCCUUUGGGUUGUAAACCGCUGUCGCCUGUAACGAAGCGUGAGUGACGGUAAUGGGUAAAGAAGCACCGGCUAACUACGUG
rnacentral:rRNA from 1 species